AAUGAACGCUGGCGGCAGGCCUAAAACAUGCAAGUCGAACGCCCUAGCAAUAGGGAGUGGCGCACGGGUGAGUAACAUGUGGGAAUAUGCCUUUUGGUACGGAACAACGUCUGGAAACGAACGCUAAUACCGUAUGGUCCCUCCGGGGUAAAGAUUUAUCGCCAAAAGAUUAGCCCGCACUAGAUUAGCUAGUUGGUAAGGUAACGGCUUACCAAGGCGACGAUCUAUAGCUGUUCUGAGAGGAAGAUCAGCCACACUGGGACUGAGACACGGCCCAGACUCCUACGGGAGGCAGCAGUUAGGAAUAUUGGACAAUGGGCGCAAGCCUGAUCCAGCCAUGCCGCGUGAGUGAUGAAGGCCUUCGGGUUGUAAAGCUCUUUAGCCGACGAAUAUAAUGACUGUAGUCGGAGAAUAAGCCCCGGCUAACUUCGUGCCAGCCGCCGCGGUAAUAC
rnacentral:rRNA from 1 species